GGGUCUGUAGUUCAAAGGUAGAACGCGGUGCUCAUAACGCUGACGUUACAGGUUCGAGUCCUGUCAGACCCA
rnacentral:tRNA from 1 species